AAUGUGUGGGACUGAAUGAAUGGAAGAAUGAAAUGGAAAGAAAGAAGACCCUGGAAUGGUACAAGGAGAAAGAGGCCCCGAGGUAUGAAAGGUGGUAUGAUGGAAGCCUGGGCGGUGAUCUUCUCUUCCGAGCGAGGGCACAGUGUAUGGAUGUGAAUGCAAGGAGUUACAGGUGGUCUGAGUCCCGCAGCAAAGUGUGCCAGAUAUGUGACAUGGGAGAGGAUGAGACGGUGGAACAUGUGGUGCUGGAGUGUGUGAAGUAUGCCAGAGACAGGAAUGAGAUGAUGCAAGUGAUACUGAGUUAGGGCAUGAUAGGAAUGAAAGAGUGGAAAAGACAGGAAAGGAAUGGAUGGUGUUGUUGCUGGGACUGUGUAGAGAGGCGAAUGAAAGGAUGAUUGAGGCGGUGAAAGAGUUUCUGGAGAGAAUGUGGCGUGCCAGGUGUAUGAACAAUUAGGAUAGAGGAUGCUGUUCGUUUCUCUUUUUUUUCCCUUUCUACAGGAGUUGCCGAUCCAAAGGCCUGGCUCAGGAGUGAUCCUGUGCCACCUGUACCAUCAAGAUCAAGAUCAAUAAGAGUUGACAUUUGGCCGUGAUUGAGCUUUUUCCAGCCGAAAACCCCGCUUUCCCACCAGGUCCCCACGAUUAUAGGGAUAGGAGCCGAAAAAAAAAAAAUAGGAAAGAGCCGCGUAAGCCUUCUUACCGUAAAAAAUCACUCCCUUCCCACUCUCCACUCCACACUGCCUAACGAAUCAUAACCAAUCUCUUUCCUCCACUCCACAUCCAUGGAACCGGCGAGACUCCUCCCCGCAACCUUACUUAGGAUCGACGCAGCCCUCAACAAGAAAAACUAGACAGGAGGCGGUGACUAUACAUUUUCCUCGCCACCACUCCCACCGUUCUGCUCUCCACUCACUGGCAUCACUUCACAGCCACAGGCCGUUACUAGUAGACCUGGGUGUUUCCUAAGACAGCAGGGUCUUCCUCCAGAAGACAGGAAAGCUCACCAGAAUCUAACAACAGAUAACCUACAUGCUACCAGCACCUUCGAAGCACUACAGGCUGUAUUACAAUCUCCCUGCACGACCCCAUCAAAUUACCAACAAGAACAAGUAAAAUUUAUGGCUACUAAGGUGUGUGGGUGAUGAAUCUUGAGGAAAGGUGAUCCAGAAUGCUGGAGUUGUUCUUCCCCCAACCUGCAUCCAGCUGUACCUGUUGCUCCACAUAUGCAGCUGUCGAUCCACAUACCUGGAGGCAUAACAUGAUAAGCCAGUAGUCUGGCUGGCUCCACACACUCACCCCUCACAUGACAUUUGCCUCUUUAACCAGGGAGUUGUGUGCGAGGAACACCCUGAAUGAUGCAGAUGGACAAGCAAGUUGAUGAGGCUCAUGGUGUUGUAGCACAAGGUUGCCGUGCUGAUUUAAGGGAAAGGUUCCUCCUAGCUGUGACCAGCUUGGCAGGAGUGUGGAUGAAUGUGAGCAUGACAGAUGGCAUUGAAGUGCAAGGAACAUUACGUGCAAUAGACAAAGAUGUCCUUUUGGCACAGCUACAAAACCUCCAGACCCCCUUCACCUCGCACCCCUGGGCCACACUCCGCCUGCCAGAUUGUCAUAGCUUUAUCUUCAAACUCUAAUAACAAACGCAUUGUCACAAUUUUCUAAGCAGUGUAUAUUUAGUUGAUAAUACUUUUCCUCUUCUUAUUCUUGUUUGAAUACAAGUAAAUUUGUAUAUUACAGUAGUCACAGAAGCUUUGUGUUUGCUCAAAGUCUGUAGUUUACUACUUUAUUACUGAAACCUAAAUAUCUUUGCUACUGACAUCAGUUAUUUUCAUGAAUAUCAUGCUAUCACUUUAUUCACCAAAAAAUUAAACAUGCCUUAACCCCAUCUUAUUCAAACACAUAAAAGUAUCGCAUCUGAUCAUUUCAUAAUAUUUAUAUGACUCAUUGUGACAGUAGACUCCUUUGUUUGUAUUAUCAAACUAAAGUAUUUUUGCAUUGAACAUAUCUCUACCAAUUUCUCAAGUGCAUCAAAAUAUCAGUUAUGCUUGCUUAUGCAAUGGAGUUUGUGGAUAAUUUUAUUUUUGACAUGGCUUCCUUUUUGAUGAAAAUUAUUUGGUAUUCUGGUGUUUAUAUUGAUUAAUGAAUAUGUACAGUGGUGGUUUUGUAAAUUUUCCAAAGUCCCAUCUGGUGAGCUAGCCUUACAUUUGGCAGUGUUUCGUGGUUCCCACAUCACUCCAAAUAUUUUAUCAGGUGUUCUUCUAAAUAUUUCCAUGCAUAUAUAGAGUCAGCAAAUGCCAGUCUUGCCUCGCAGUAGCAUACUCCACUCAAGGAGUGCAUUUUGCUGAAGGCCUCUCAGCUAGCUUAAAAAAUAUGGGCUGGGACAAACUGACAUAUUGGCAUCUCAAGUGCAUCUAUCCUUCUCACUCAUGCUCAUUGCAACAGUGACCAACAUUAAUUACCAGUGUCAUUAUUCAUUGUGUCUUUAAUGAUGCAUAAUCAAGUUUUUUCUUGGGGUGAAACACAUUUUGUUCUUUUGAUUUUGUGGUGUUUGUAGUGAUGAAUGCAAUGCAUAUAAGUCACAGUGAUAUCAUUCAAUCAUAGAUCUUCACAUAUCAGGUUUGAAUAGUGCCAUCCUUGGCCAGCCCCAUUCCCUUUUAGCUCAUAGCUACUCUCUCCAUGAAAUUUAUUUAUCAUUUAGCCAAAGAUUUCAUAUAUUAAGGAAGAGUGAAAAGAGAAGGAAGUGGCUAGGGAGCAAAAGAUGGAUCAAAGGAGGCCAAGGGAGCUCUGUUAUUGUUGUGAUGGUAAGGUUGGUGAUGGUAGGUUCACUUUUGUUGUCAGUAGAAGUGGUGACAUUGAUAGUAAUGUGGUAGUGGUUGUGAUAGUUAUGAGAGCACUGGGAGUAGUGUACCAUAUACAUACACUUCACUUACAAUUAUGUUUUAUUAUGUAGAACUACUACUACUACUAUACAGGUUAUCACCUAAGGCUAGGCCUAACAGAGUUAGGGCAAGGCUGUCUCUCUUCCUUUCCUUUCCUCCUUCCUUGUCUUCUUCCAUCCCCCACCUCUCUCUCUCUCUCUCUCUCUCUCUCUCUCUCUCUCUCUCUCUCUCUCUCUCUCUCUCUCUCUCUCUCUCUCUCUCUCUCUCUCUCUCUCUCUCUCUCUCUCUCUCUCUCUCUCUCUCUCUCUCUCUCUCUCUCUCUCUCUCUCUCUCUCUCUCUCUCUCAUAUAUAUAUAUAUAUAUAUAUAUAUAUAUAUAUAUAUAUAUAUAUAUAUAUAUAUAUAUAUAUAUAUAUAUAUAUAUAUAUAUAUAUAUAUAUAUAUAUAUACACACACACACACACACACACACACACACACACACACACACACACACACACACACACACACACACACACACACACACACACACACACACACACACACACACACACACACAUAUAAAGGCACCCAGAGUCAGAGUGACAUAAGUGACCUUGUGGCCAAAACUAUUAUUUUUAUUGCAUUGUCUUUCCCAACCUUCCUGUUGUGACAGGAGAGAGUGUGGACAUCAGAAUGGACUCCACAAUAGGGUCAGAAAUACAUCCAAGUGAAAUUAUCCACGGAACCUUCUUGCUACGCUUGAGUGAUAGUUAUCAGUUUCUGGAGUCAGAGAGAAGUAACUCCCUCAUCACAGCAGCACAAGAAGAGCCAGCCAAUGACAGCUCAUGCUGUGAGUCACAUAUCAUACCAGGACACAUCCCCACCACCACAUCUACACACUUCACACUCUCCCUCACUUUAGCCUGCUAGCUACCCUUAAAUAACAGGCUGCUGUCCUAAUUUUGCUUCUACAUAGCACAUAGGCCUUUCAUUAUUGUGGUGGACAACAGUGUACUCCCUGAAGAGCCAGGACUCUCCAGAGGAAGAAAAAAUGUGCAUAAUCCAGUAGAAUGAAAGAAAAAUAUCACUAAAAGAUGAAAAUACAUAGGGGAAGCCUUUGGAAGUAUUGGAUGAUUUUAUUAUUUUAUAUUUUAUUAUCCUUUAUACCACUAUAUUUUCACAAUAUUUAUUAGUUCUUUUGUUUUAGUUACUUCAAGUUUCAUUUCUUAAGCUUGUAUCAUUCACUUCGUUUGUGUUUAUCUUAGGAAGUACUUGUAUGUUGCUUACAUUUUUGCUUGAUAAAAUUGAUAAGUUUGCUAAAAACAGUACUUUUAAAUGUUUUUGAUUGCCCUAUUAGUACAUAGAAAAUGAAACAACUUGAUAGAAUAAAGUUAUAAAUAAUAAAUAGAAUAAAUAAAUGUGUGGGCACUAGAUACAGUUUUAAUGUACCUGUGUGAUAUCCUUAACAAAAUCAUAUUGGAGAAAAAGCAGUCACCUAUGUACUUUUAAUAAUGUAAUUUAAUUGUAACUUUAUAAUGUAAUUCCAACUAAAUAGUUGUAAAGGGCAUUAAUUACUGAAUAUUUUGAUACCAGUCAUUACUUUCUAUCUCAAUCUAUUUAAGAGACAUUGCAUUUUGAUGCCGUUUUUCUCUAUUUUCAGUUUUCAGUGUUUACAUCACUGGUUCUAAGUGCCUCAUAUAUAUAUAUAUAUAUAUAUAUAUAUAUAUAAAUAUAUAUAUAUAUAUAUAUAUAUAUAUAUAUAUAUAUAUAUAUAUAUAUAUAUAUAUAUAUAUAUAUAUAUGAGGAGCCUAGAACCAGAGUGGUGUUCAAAAUCAGAAAUAUUUAAAAACAAACAAUUUUCCCCAUAGGAAUUAACAUAAAUUGGAUCAGUCCAUUCCCAGACACCAGGCGACCUUGUUUUAUUGGCUUAUAAUAGACGCUCCUACAGCCAAAAUCACUGCUUCACAACAUCUCCAGCUCACAAAUUAUUUAUCCAGAGAGGAUGUAUUGAAUGAACUUAGUGACACAGAACUCAUCAGAAGAUACUGUUUAGACCAUGCAGGUAUUCUCUUUGUCACCAAUCUAGUUAGUGAGGGAAGCCUUACAGAAGGACACAGAAAGGAGCAACCUACUUACUGCCAAAAUGAAGAUGAUCAUAACAGCUAGACAUUUUGCUGCUGGGAAAAGCUACUGGAAAAAUGCAGUUGUACAGUAGUGAUGGCAGUGGGGGUCAUCGAGAGAGCCACAGGCAGGCUGCUUGGGAUAAAUCCUGAGUGCUGAAAACUGUUUGUUUACAUCCUGGCUUUUCAAUGUGAUCACAUUUACCUUAUUUCAAAAAUUGAGUUACUGUCUUACACUCUGUGUCUCUCCUUCAAAUGUAUAAAAAUUAAGUAAAUAUUUAUAUAAACUAUAAAUUAGUAAUAAAUGGCAACUUUU